UACGUAGGUGGCAAGCGUUGUCCGGAAUUAUUGGGCGUAAAGCGCGCGCAGGCGGAUUAGUCAGUCUGUCUUAAAAGUUCGGGGCUUAACCCCGUGAUGGGAUGGAAACUGCUGAUCUAGAGUAUCGGAGAGGAAAGUGGAAUUCCUAGUGUAGCGGUGAAAUGCGUAGAUAUUAGGAAGAACACCAGUGGCGAAGGCGACUUUCUGGACGAAAACUGACGCUGAGGCGCGAAAGCCAGGGGAGCGAACGGG
rnacentral:rRNA from 2 species